ACACCUCAACUCUCAUGGUUUGCCAUGAUGAGCUUGGACUUUGGGGGUAUUGCCGGCCUAACCGUCGGCUCCUCUCAAAUCGAUCAGCUUGCCAGUGUUUGGUGGCGUCACAGGUGUGAUAACUAUCUACGCUUGCUGUCUUCCAUCAGGUUACCUUCAGUGAUGAAGGUUCACUGGAGCUUACAGAUGUCUCUCCUCAGGGAGGACAGCUUUUUGAAC
rnacentral:misc_RNA from 1 species